rnacentral:snRNA from 1 species
GUGUUUGCUUCCACGGCACAAGCACAGAAAUAGGGAUUGAUACACAGAACCAUUAGCAUGGCCCCGUCACCAAGAUAACAUGCCAACUCUUGAAGCAUUCCACAUUUUU